CCUCGGGUGGCAGCAGUGGGGAAUAUUGCAUAAUGGGGGAAACCCUGAUGCAGCGAAGCCGCGUGAGUGAAGAAGUAUUUCGGUAUGUAAAGCUCUAUCAGCAGGGAAGACAAUGACGGUACCUGACUAAGAAGCCCCGGCUAACUACGUGCCAGCAGCCGCGGUAAUACGUAGGGGGCAAGCGUUAUCCGGAUUUACUGGGUGUAAAGGGAGCGUAGACGGCAGAGCAAGUCUGAAGUGAAAGCCCGCGGCCCAACUGCGGGACUGCUUUGGAAACUGCCCGGCUAGAGUGCUGGAGAGGUAAGCGGAAUUCGUAGUGUAGCGGUGAAAUGCGUAGAUAUUAGGAGGAACACCAGUGGCGAAGGCGGCCUGCUGGACUGCAACUGACGUUGAGGCCCGAAAGCGUGGGGAGCAAACAGGAUUAGAUACCCCAGUAGUC
rnacentral:rRNA from 1 species